rnacentral:rRNA from 1 species
UACAGAGGUCUCAAGCGUUGUUCGGAUUCAUUGGGCGUAAAGGGUGCGUAGGUGGUGCCGUAAGUUGGGUGUGAAAUCCCGGAGCUUAACUCCGGAACUGCAUUCAAUACUGCGGUGCUCGAGUACUGGAGAGGAGAUUGGAAUUCACGGUGUAGCAGUGAAAUGCGUAGAUAUCGUGAGGAAGACCAGUGGCGAAGGCGGAUCUCUGGACAGUUACUGACACUGAGGCACGAAGGCCAGGGGAGGCAAACGGG